GAUGAACGCUGGCGGCGUGCCUAAUACAUGCAAGUCGAGCGAACGGACGAGAAGCUUGCUUCUCUGAUGUUAGCGGCGGACGGGUGAGUAACACGUGGAUAACCUACCUAUAAGACUGGGAUAACUUCGGGAAACCGGAGCUAAUACCGGAUAAUAUUUUGAACCGCAUGGUUCAAAAGUGAAAGACGGUCUUGCUGUCACUUAUAGAUGGAUCCGCGCUGCAUUAGCUAGUUGGUAAGGUAACGGCUUACCAAGGCAACGAUGCAUAGCCGACCUGAGAGGGUGAUCGGCCACACUGGAACUGAGACACGGUCCAGACUCCUACGGGAGGCAGCAGUAGGGAAUCUUCCGCAAUGGGCGAAAGCCUGACGGAGCAACGCCGCGUGAGUGAUGAAGGUCUUCGGAUCGUAAAACUCUGUUAUUAGGGAAGAACAUAUGUGUAAGUAACUGUGCACAUCUUGACGGUACCUAAUCAGAAAGCCACGGCUAACUACGUGCCAGCAGCCGCGGUAAUACGUAGGUGGCAAGCGUUAUCCGGAAUUAUUGGGCGUAAAGCGCGCGUAGGCGGUUUUUUAAGUCUGAUGUGAAAGCCCACGGCUCAACCGUGGAGGGUCAUUGGAAACUGGAAAACUUGAGUGCAGAAGAGGAAAGUGGAAUUCCAUGUGUAGCGGUGAAAUGCGCAGAGAUAUGGAGGAACACCAGUGGCGAAGGCGACUUUCUGGUCUGCAACUGACGCUGAUGUGCGAAAGCGUGGGGAUCAAACAGGAUUAGAUACCCUGGUAGUCCACGCCGUAAACGAUGAGUGCUAAGUGUUAGGGGGUUUCCGCCCCUUAGUGCUGCAGCUAACGCAUUAAGCACUCCGCCUGGGGAGUACGACCGCAAGGUUGAAACUCAAAGGAAUUGACGGGGACCUGCACAAGCGGUGGAGCAUGUGGUUUAAUUCGAAGCAACGCGAAGAACCUUACCAAAUCUUGACAUCCUUUGACAACUCUAGAGAUAGAGCCUUCCCCUUCGGGGGACAAAGUGACAGGUGGUGCAUGGUUGUCGUCAGCUCGUGUCGUGAGAUGUUGGGUUAAGUCCCGCAACGAGCGCAACCCUUAAGCUUAGUUGCCAUCAUUAAGUUGGGCACUCUAAGUUGACUGCCGGUGACAAACCGGAGGAAGGUGGGGAUGACGUCAAAUCAUCAUGCCCCUUAUGAUUUGGGCUACACACGUGCUACAAUGGACAAUACAAAGGGCAGCGAAACCGCGAGGUCAAGCAAAUCCCAUAAAGUUGUUCUCAGUUCGGAUUGUAGUCUGCAACUCGACUACAUGAAGCUGGAAUCGCUAGUAAUCGUAGAUCAGCAUGCUACGGUGAAUACGUUCCCGGGUCU
rnacentral:rRNA from 1 species